rnacentral:rRNA from 1 species
UACGUAGGUGGCAAGCGUUGUCCGGAUUUAUUGGGUUUAAAGGGUGCGUAGGCGGCUUUGUAAGUCAGUGGUGAAAUAUGGCAGCUCAACUGUCAGGGUGCCAUUGAUACUGCCGUGCUUGAGGACUGGAGAGGAGACUGGAAUUUACGGUGUAGCGGUGAAAUGCGUAGAUAUCGUAAGGAAGACCAGUGGCGAAGGCGGGUCUCUGGACAGUUCCUGACGCUGAGGCACGAAGGCCAGGGAGCAAACGGG